rnacentral:rRNA from 1 species
UGAAUACGAGAUGCUACGGCGUCGAAGCAGUGUAUGUCAGACUUCCAAGAAAAGCUCGCAAUGUCAUAAAUAAAGAAUGCCUGUACCAUAACCGACACAGGUGGGUAGGUAGAGUAUACUAAGGGGCGCGAGAUAACUCUCUCUAAGGAACUCGGCAAAAUAACUCCGUAACUUCGGGAGAAGGUGUGCCUUCUUUAAGAAGGUCGCAAUAACAAGAUCCAAGCAACUGUUUAUCAAAAACACAGGUCUCCGCUAAGUCGUAAGACGAUGUAUGGGGGCUGACGCCUGCCCAGUGCCAGAAGGUUAAAGAAGCUGGUUAGCAAUAGCGAAGCUGGUGACUGAAGCCCUGGUGAACGGCGGCCGUAACGAUAACGGUCCUAAGGUAGCGAAAUUCCUUGUCGGGUAAGUUCCGACCCGCACGAAAGGCGUAAUGAUUUGGAUACUGUCUCGGAGAGGGAUUCGGUGAAAUAGACUUGUCUGUGAAGAUGCGGACUACCUGCACCAGGACAGAAAGACCCUAUGAAGCUUUACCGUAACCUGAAAUUGAAAUUGGACUUUAUUUGCGCAGUAUAGGUGGGAGGCGUUGAAAGUAAUCUUGCGGGAUUAGUGGAGCCAUCAGUGAGAUACCACUCCUAUAAUGUUAGAUUUCUAACUUUGGAUCAUGAUCUGGUCAAAGAACAGUUUCAGGCGGGCAGUUUGACUGGGGCGGUCGCCUCCCAAAUGGUAACGGAGGCGUACAAAGGUUUCCUCUGAACGGGUAGAAAUCGUAUCUAGAGUGUAAAGGCAUAAGGAAGCUUGACUGUGAGACCUACAAGUCGAGCAGGGACGAAAGUCGGUCUUAGUGAUCUGACGGUGCUGAGUGGAAAGGCCGUCACUCAACGGAUAAAAGUUACUCUAAGGAUAACAGGCUGAUCUCCCCCAAGAGUUCACAUCGACGGGGAGGUUUGGCACCUCGAUGUCGGCUCAUCGCAUCCUGGGGCGGUAGUACGUCCCAAGGGUUGGGCUGUUCGCCCAUGAAAGCGGUACGCGAGCUGGGUUCAGAACGUCGUGAGACAGUUCGGUCCAUAUCCGGUGUAGGCGUUAGAAUAUUGAGAGGAGCCUUCUCUAGUACGAGAGGACCGAGAAGGACAUACCUCUGGUGUACCAGUUAUCGUGCCAACGGUAAACGCUGGGUAGCUAUGUAUGGAGAGGAUAACCGCUGAAAGCAUCUAGGUGGGAAGCCCACCUCAAGAUGAGUAUUCUCAUC